rfam:Oryza rufipogon genomic scaffold, chr02
AACAAGUACAGCCAUAAGUUUUCGCGCACAACUAUAAUUGUCCGUCUUAUUUGAAAUUCUUUUAUAAUUAAUAUUUUUAUUGUUAUGAGAUGAUACAACAUGAAUGGUACUUUACUCGUGACUUAUGUUUUUAUUUUUUUGUUCAAAAAAAAUUUAAAUAAGACAAGCGGUUAAAGUUGGGCGCGAAAAACCAUGGCUGCACUUAUU